GAAAGAAGUUGAGCUGCAAGUUGGUUGCAGAUAUUGCUCUGGUUUGACUAUCUCAGUCCAAGUAAUGGCCCUGCAGGACUCCUGGACCUUUGUGGGUAGAUGGAAGUGAAAUUUAAAGAUAUCAUCCAAAUAGACCUUCACGGGUGACGGAAAAGCUCGUGGUGCCACUUUGUGAGGAGGUGAGCGCGGAGCAAAAGCGGAGUCAACAUGAGAGCCCAUGUUCUCCAUGGCCGGCGGGAGCCCGGGGCCGCUUCCUGCCUCCGUGCCUCUUGGCACACUAAUGCCCCGGCAGGAACCGCGCUCCCAGGGGAGCCCCGGCCUCGUUGCUGCGGCCGCUCGUCCCCUCGGACGGUUUGAAGGAGGAUGAUUAAUUUGACCGCUCGUGGCUCUGUGCGUCACUUGCUGCCGCGAGAAGGGCCCUGUCUGCUGUCCUGGGCUGGUUGGGGCUAGUUUAGGGAUAGCUCUACCAUGGGAAAGAAACCCUGGCUAUGGCAGGACAGCAGCUGAGCCUGUUCCUUUCACCUGCAUGUUCACCUUCUCCCAGGCAGAAGAUUGCUGAGUGGCACUGGACAGAUUUCUCUGGUGUCCCAGUUGCGUUGGUUGGUGACCCACACAAUUCAUUCCACCUACAGCCCCAAAAGGCACAGUUGCACUCUACCAAAUGAGCCAAGAAUUGGGUUGGUUUUUUUUGUUUUGCCUCUUUAAAGGUAUCCCUGUACCUGUCUCAAAGCCUGUGGGAGCCCAGGGAUGCUGUGUGGGAGCAGGUCUGAGCUCCCCAGCAUGUGCAGAGCGGGUGUCCAUGUGCUGGCCUGGCACAGGAGGGUACAAUGACCUGGGAAAGGGAGGAAAGCGGCCCUGGAUAUCCACACUGUGAGAUCACACAGCUGGUACUGGCUCCUCGAGGGGGUAUAUGGUGUGUGGAUGGGGGCAGAGCACAAAGCACAGUCCCUCUGUCUCCUUUGGGAAUGGCUGAAGCAAGAAGGGAUCUGAUGUAAUAACUACCAGGGCAGAAACUUGGGUGUUUCCAGGCUCCCAGAAGCAGAGGCCUAGGAAAAGAAGCUGAUCCUGGAGGAGGCAUCUUCACUGGCCUGCAGGGGACCUGAAAAGSCUGGGGGUCUCGCACCUCGGGGCAAGGAUGUGUCUCAUCAGCAACUGGAGGAAGCCACCAGAGUCUGGGACUGGACUAGCGCCAUGCUAGGCGCUUGCUUCUGCAAAUAGCUACAAGUUGCACAUUGCAAAUGCUGGAAGAGUUUCAGUGUGUGCUUUAAUCCUAAAUCCAGCUGUAAACAGGCCUAUUUGGGCGAUGGUAACACUUUGGUUAAGGGAUGUUUUCAGAGCUGCUAGAGUCCACAUGRGUGAUGGCCCUUGGUUCACCGUAGGGUGGCAGAUGGCAAUGUACAGUGGGGACAUUCACUGCCCCGAAGAUGAGACGUGUUUGCUCUUGAGCAAGUCACCUGUCAGGCGUGUUCCUGGCUUACCCAUGGGAAGCAAAACACUGCCAUGUAGCAGCUCCGUGGAAGGGUACG